rnacentral:rRNA from 1 species
GACAUAGGUGGCGAACGUUAUCCGGAAUUAUUGGGCGUAAAGGGUGCGUAGAUGGUUUAAUAAGUUAGUGGUGGCAAAUCGAGGCUCAACCUCGUGGAAGUUACUAAUACUAUUAAACUAGAGUGUAGGAGAGGUUAAUGGAACUCUAUGUGGAGGGGUAAAAUCCGUAGAUAUAUAGAUGAACACCAAUCGGCGAAGGCAGUUAACUAUCCUAAUACUGACAUUGAGGCACGAAAGCGUGGGGAGCAAAAAGG